rnacentral:lncRNA from 1 species
GCUAUAUAUUUGUACAUAUUGAACUUGGAUAAGACUUAGGAGAAAACCCGCGAUUCUACCCUGUCAUAUGCUUUAACUAUCAGAUUUAGCUCUAAAAGCUGUGAUUUGUCGUAUCAUCGCAGUUUCAGAGCGGUGGAUACUCAAGGUAAUUUAGAUUGCAGUUGCACUCGUACUGAGAUUCCGAGUGAAUUUUUACAGUAGUGUUCAGACUGUUCCGGACAGUUGGGCGCCGUUGGGAUUGACGGUGAACGCGGAUUACUGAUGUAGUAUCAGAUUGUGCCGAGGGCACGUGUGAUUUAGUUGUUAGACCAGUUAGAGCCCUUACUUACAAGUUGCUGAACUAGAGGGGUACCUGCGAUAGGUAGAGGUAGUUAUUAUAUUGAGUUCUUAUACAUACUAUGUUGGGUCUCGCUGGAGCGAGCUUUUUGUACACCUGGAUAUUUGAUGUAUGUAUAGUGAACUUUUGUUUUUAUAUUCAUGUCUUUUUAUGCUAGUAGUUCUAUACUACUGGUUGUAGUAUUGUAUGAUUAUAGGUACAGUUAUCGCUUUGUAUAAAAAAAAAAAAAUUUUAUAUACGGUAGAUUUAUCGGCGUGUCCGAAAAACGAGUAAUUCGGGGCGUGACAUGAAGUAAAAUCAACUAAACGAAAUGUGAACAUUAAUAGGGU